CCCAGAGGUAUUGAUUGGUGAGAUUCUUAAGUGCGGUUUUCGUACUUCUUCUCUUACACCGACCUGCGCAGAUGCGCAGGUUUUUUUU
rnacentral:sRNA from 1 species